rnacentral:lncRNA from 8 species
AUGGAAGCAGGCAGAGGCAGCGAAGGAGCAUCAACGACGACUCCGGGGUUCGCAACCACGACGGAAGCCCAAGAGACAGCCCGAAUUUUUUUGGGGGGGGGUCACAUGGAGUGGUCGGUGAGGCCGAGGGGCGAGUCGGAGAGCGAAGAGGAAUAUUGGGAGAGACUGAGCGAGGAGUAUUGUGAGAUAGUUAAGGGGAGUGAUGAGGUAGAGUGGAUGGUUUGUUGUCUGGAGCAAAACAGUCGCCGUGAGGAGCGUGGGACUAGUCAGGCACCAUAUUUUGCGGAGAUACGCAAUGUGUCUCCAGUGCGCAUCCACAGCCCGGUGCGUUCUGUGCCAGCUCCUCGCACUUGCCGUGCGAAAGUGAGCAUCCAGCCAGGACAGGUUGUGCCGGCUCAGCGCUCCUGGUCUCCAGUACGUCUCCUCGGUCCAGAAUAUCCUGCGCCAGCUCUACGCACUGUGUCGCCAGUGCGCCUUCACAGCCUAGUGCGUCCUGUGCCAGUGCCCCGCACUUGCCGGGCUAAAGUGAGCAUCCAGCCAGGACGGGUUGUGCCAGCUAUACGCUCCAGACCUCCAGUGCGCCUCCACGGUCCAGUAUAUCCUGUGCCUCCUCCUCGCACUCUCCCUGAAGUGCGUGUUCCCAGUCAGGUACGUCCUGUGCCUACUCCUCGCACUCUCCCUGAAAUGCCUGUUCUCAGUCAGGUACGUCCUGUGCCUGCUCCUCGCACUCUCCCUGAAAUGCCUGUUCUCAGUCAGGUACGUCCUGUGCCUGCUCCUCGCACUCGCCCUGAAGUGCAUGUCACCAGUUUGGCGCCACCUGUGCCAGUUCCACGCACUAGGCCUCCAGUGCGCCUGCCCAGUCAGGUACGUCCUGUGCCUGCUCCCCGCACUCACCCUGAGGUGCGUGUUACCAGUCUGGCGCCACCUGCGCUGGCCCCACGCAUCAGGCCUCCAGUGCGCCUUCCCGUUCCAGAGCUUCCGGCGACAGUACCCAGUCCAGAGCUUCCGGCGACAGUUCCUAGUCCAGAGCUUCCGGCGACAGUUCCCGGUCCAGAGCUUCCAGCGACAGUUCCCAGUCCAGAGCUUCCGACGACAGUUCCCAGUCCAGAGCUUCCGGCGAUGUUUCACAGUCCAGAGCUUCCGACGACAGUUCCCAGUCCAGAGCUUCCGGCGAUGUUUCACAGUCCGGAACCUCCAACGACGGUCUACGGUCCGGAACCUCCUGAGACGGCCCACGGUCCGGAACCUCCAGAGACGGCCCACGGUCCGGAGCCUCCUGAGACGACCCACGGUCCAGAGCCUCCUGAGACGGCCCACGGUCCAGAGCCUCCUGAGACGGCCCACGGUCCAGAGCCUCCUGAGACGGUCCCCCUAACCCUCCCUUUUGUUUCAGGUUUUGCGGUCGGAGUCCGCACCUUUGGGGGGGGGGGGGGGGGACUGUCAUGUCCUGACCAUAGAGAGCUCUUAUUUUCUAUGGUAGAGUAG